CAUUUAAGAGCAAUCACUUUUCCAUUCCUCUUCCUGUGCCUAAUCCCUAGCUCUGUGUCCUCUCACCUAUGGGAGAAGGAGAGCUAAAGGACAACAAUAGAGUGACAAAGUGUGGUCAUUGAUCUAUGAAAACAGAGGCUUAGAUCACAUCACUAACGUCCUCCUAAUGGUAAGAAGCUAGAUGGACCACAGCCAGCCUCUAAAUUAUACUAUACCCUAGACAAAGAGUUUCUAUGUACAUAAUCCUCUGAUGCUCCAUCUCCAUCUGUAAAAGGGAAGUUCAGGAAGAAAACAACUAAGCCUCCAGAAGAAGUCCCUGAAACCAACAGGAUACACUCACCUACUCUUUCCCCAAGCACAGAUGAGGAUUAAAGUCCCCUGAGAGAUACUCUCAAACCAACUGAAGUAAGUGCCUUGAAGAGACUCUCCAACCUGUGGAGCUGCCUGCAGACUGUGAAGUCCAAGGCUCCAGCUUUCCAAGGUCAUGCUGGGGGCAGGGUGGGCUUUGGUGAUGCAGAUGUCAUCGAGUCAUUUCUGCUCCUGUCAGUAACCCCCUCAUCCAUACUUCUUUAGAUAAAAGUCAUUGAUUCACCAA